AGUGAACGCUGGCGGUAGGCCUAACACAUGCAAGUCGAACGGCAGCACAGUAAGAGCUUGCUCUUACGGGUGGCGAGUGGCGGACGGGUGAGGAAUACAUCGGAAUCUACUUUUUCGUGGGGGAUAACGUAGGGAAACUUACGCUAAUACCGCAUACGACCUACGGGUGAAAGCAGGGGAUCUUCGGACCUUGCGCGAUUGAAUGAGCCGAUGUCGGAUUAGUUAGUUGGCGGGGUAAAGGCCCACCAAGGCGACGAUCCGUAGCUGGUCUGAGAGGACGAUCAGCCACGCUGGAGCUGAGGCACGGUCCAGACUCCUACGAGAGGCAGGAGUGGGGAAUAUUGGAGAAGGGGCGGAAGCCUGAUCCAGCCAUACCGCGUGAGUGAAGAAGGCCUUCGGGUUGUAAAGCCCUUUUGUUGGGAAAGAAAAGCAGCAGGUUAAUACCCCGCUGUUCUGACGGUACCCAAAGAAUAAGCACCGGCUAACUUCGG
rnacentral:rRNA from 1 species